UACAGAGGGUGCGAGCGUUGUUCGGAAUUAUUGGGCGUAAAGGGCGCGUAGGCGGUGCGGUAAGUCACCUGUGAAAUCUCCUGGCUCAACUGGGAGCUUGCAGGCGAAACUGCCGUGCUGGAGUGUGGGAGAGGUGCGUGGAAUUCCUGGUGUAGCGGGUGAAAUGCGUAGAUAUCAGGAGGAAUACCUAUGGCGAAAGCAGGUAUCUGGGCCAUCACUGACGCUGAGCUGCGAAAGCGUAGGGGAGCAAACAGG
rnacentral:rRNA from 1 species